GUACAUUUCCUACCCUACCUGAAGACUUGAGAUUAUAGUCUUUGGGGGGAUGGGCAAAGUAC
ensembl:miRNA